UACGAAGGGUGCAAGCGUUAAUCGGAAUUACUGGGCGUAAAGCGUGCGUAGGCGGUUUGUUAAGUCUGUUGUGAAAUCCCCGGGCUCAACCUGGGAAUGGCAAUGGAUACUGGCAGGCUAGAGUGUGUCAGAGGAUGGUGGAAUUCCCGGUGUAGCGGUGAAAUGCGUAGAGAUCGGGAGGAACAUCAGUGGCGAAAGCGACUUCCUGGACCAAUACUGACGCUCAUGUGCGAAAGCGUGGGGAGCAAACAGG
rnacentral:rRNA from 1 species